UACGGGGGGGGCAAGCGUUGUUCGGAAUUACUGGGCGUAAAGAGCUCGUAGGCGGUUUGUCGCGUCUGCCGUGAAAACCCGAGGCUUAACCUCGUGGCUUGCGGUGGAUACGGGCAGACUAGAGGUAGGUAGGGGAGAAUGGAAUUCCCGGUGUAGCGGUGAAAUGCGCAGAUAUCGGGAGGAACACCGGUGGCGAAGGCGGUUCUCUGGGCCUUACCUGACGCUGAGGAGCGAAAGCGUGGGGAGCGAACAGG
rnacentral:rRNA from 1 species